rnacentral:rRNA from 1 species
AAUAUUGCACAAUGGGCGAAAGCCUGAUGCAGCAACGCCGCGUGAGGGAUGAAGGCCUUCGGGUCGUAAAGCUCUUUGAUCAGGGAAGAUAACGACAGUACAUGAAAAACAAGCCACGGUUAACUACAGUCCAUCAGCCUCGGUAAUACGUAGGUGGCGAGCGUUGUCCGGAAUUACUGGGCGUAAAGGAUGCGUAGGUGGAUACUUAAGUGGGAUGUGAAAUCCCCGGGCUCAACCCGGGAACUGCAUUCCAAACUGGGUAUCUAGAGUGCAGGAGAGGAAAGCGGAAUUCCUAGUGUAGCGGUGAAAUGCGUAGAUAUUAGGAGGAACACCAGUGGCGAAGGCGGCUUUCUGGACUGUAACUGACACUGAGGCAUGAAAGCGUGGGUAGCAAACAGG